CACCAUGUGACUUCUGACUGUUCACCAGAAGACCAUAAAAGCAUCAAUCAGCAGUAAAAGUAUGACAAAGAGGGCCGGGGAUUUAGCUCAGUGGCAUCGCACCUGCCUGGCAAGCACCAGAUCCUGAGUUCAAUCUCUGGUACCGCAAAACGAAGAAAAGAGAGGAGAAGAUCAGAAAAGAGAAGACAAGGCAAGCAAACACUUUAAAAGCCUCCCUACUACCUGGUUUAUUUAAAGCUAUUCUAAUAAUUA